rnacentral:rRNA from 1 species
UACGUAGGGUGCAAGCGUUGUCCGGAAUUAUUGGGCGUAAAGAGCUCGUAGGCGGUCUGUUGCGUCGGCUGUGAAAACCCGGGGCUCAACUCCGGGCCUGCAGCCGAUACGGGCAGACUAGAGUUCGGCAGGGGAGACUGGAAUUCCUGGUGUAGCGGUGAAAUGCGCAGAUAUCAGGAGGAACACCGAUGGCGGAGGCAGGUCUCUGGGCCAUAACUGACGCUGAGAAGCGAAAGCAUGGGGAGCGAACAGG